UGACUUUAUGUUGAAUGGUUUUGCAAUUGGUUCUGCUGUAACUGACCAAAGUGGUGAUGCUGAAGCUCCACGUUUGUUCAACCAAGGUGAAGUUGU
rnacentral:tRNA from 1 species